rnacentral:rRNA from 1 species
GGAUGAACGCUGGCGGCGUGCCUAAUACACGCAAGUCGAGCGAACAGACGAGGAGCUUGCUCCUCUGACGUUAGCGGCGGACGGGUGAGUAACACGUGGAUAACCUACCUAUAAGACUGGGAUAACUCCGGGAAACCGGAGCUAAUACCGGAUAAUAUAUUGAACCGCAUGGUUCAAUAGUGAAAGACGGUUUUGCUGUCACUUAUAGAUGGAUCCGCGCCGCAUUAGCUAGUUGGUAAGGUAACGGCUUACCAAGGCAACGAUGCGUAGCCGACCUGAGAGGGUGAUCGGCCACACUGGAACUGAGACACGGUCCAGACUCCUACGGGAGGCAGCAGUAGGGAAUCUUCCGCAAAGGGCGAAAGCUUGACAGAGCAACGCCGCGUGAGUGAUGAAGGUCUUCGGAUCGUAAAACUCUGUUAUUAGGGAAGAACAAAUGUGUAAGUAACUAUGCACGUCUUGACGGUACCUAAUCAGAAAGCCACGGCUAACUACGUG